CAGCCGCCGCGGUAAUACGUAGGGUGCGAGCGUUAAUCGGAAUUACUGGGCGUAAAGCGUGCGCAGGCGGUUGUGUAAGACAGGUGUGAAAUCCCCGGGCUUAACCUGGGAACUGCGCUUGUGACUGCACAGCUAGAGUACGGCAGAGGGGGGUGGAAUUCCACGUGUAGCAGUGAAAUGCGUAGAGAUGUGGAGGAACACCGAUGGCGAAGGCAGCCCCCUGGGCCAAUACUGACGCUCAUGCACGAAAGCGUGGGGAGCAAACAGGAUUAGAUACCCCCGUAGUCCCUGUCUCUUAUAC
rnacentral:rRNA from 1 species